AGAGGGUCCAACUCAUCCUGGGACUGAGAGCGAGGCUGGUUCUUGAAUUGUGUUGUGGUGUGGAGUCUAACCCAGCUGGCUACAAAACCAUCCAGCCCCACCUGGACAGAAUCCAUUCAUGCACAACACGUAAAGGGGUAACAACGACAGAUAUGUGGAGGCCUCAAAUGAUAACUUUAUGGAUCUCGUCCAAACUCUGCUAGAAGACUCAACAAAGAGGCAAAAAAUUUUUCAGACAGCAUCCAUUCUCAACCUGACCCCUACUGACCUGGAAGAGUGUCAGCAGUCUUUCUCUGAUCCUGAGCAUCUGAAAACACUGCUGCAGCAUCAUAGAAAUCUGGGGCACCUAAAAAAAGAUCUUUUCUUCUAUGACUCUGAUACCA